UGGGGAAUAUUGGACAAUGGGGGGAACCCUGAUCCAGCCAUGCCGCGUGUGUGAAGAAGGCCUUAUGGUUGUAAAGCACUUUAAGCGAGGAGGAGGGUACUGGUAUUAAUACUACCAGGUACUGGACGUUACUCGCAGAAUAAGCACCGGCUAACUCUGUGCCAGCAGCCGCGGUAAUACAGAGGGUGCAAGCGUUAAUCGGAAUUACUGGGCGUAAAGCGCGCGUAGGUGGUUCGUUAAGUUGAAUGUGAGAGCCCCGGGCUCAACCUGGGAACUGCAUCCAAAACUGGCGAGCUAGAGUAGGGCAGAGGGUGGUGGAAUUUCCUGUGUAGCGGUGAAAUGCGUAGAUAUAGGAAGGAACACCUGUGGCGAAGGCGACCACCUGGGCUCAUACUGACACUGAGGUGCGAAAGCGUGGGGAGCAAACAGG
rnacentral:rRNA from 1 species